rnacentral:rRNA from 1 species
UAGGGAAUCUUCGGCAAUGGGGGCAACCCUGACCGAGCAACGCCGCGUGAGUGAAGAAGGUUUUCGGAUCGUAAAGCUCUGUUGUAAGUCAAGAACGAGUGUGAGAGUGGAAAGUUCACACUGUGACGGGNCUUNNANAGAGAGGGANGGCUAACUACGUGCCAGCAGCCGCGGUAAUACGUAGGUCCCGAGCGUUGUCCGGAUUUAUUGGGCGUAAAGCGAGCGCAGGCGGUUUGAUAAGUCUGAAGUUAAAGGCUGUGGCUCAACCAUAGUUCGCUUUGGAAACUGUCAAACUUGAGUGCAGAAGGGGAGAGUGGAAUUCCAUGUGUAGCGGUGAAAUGCGUAGAUAUAUGGAGGAACACCGGUGGCGAAAGCGGCUCUCUGGUCUGUAACUGACGCUGAGGCUCGAAAGCGUGGGGAGCGAACAGGAUUAGAUACCCUGGUAGUCCACGCCGUAAACGAUGAGUGCUAGGUGUUGGAUCCUUUCCGGGAUUCAGUGCCGCAGCUAACGCAUUAAGCACUCCGCCUGGGGAGUACGACCGCAAGGUU